UUUCCAUCUGCGGCCACAGAUUGUGAAGGAAAGUUUAUCAGAGGCCAAGUUCAAAGUACUGUCCGCAUAUGAAUUGUGAGCCUGCAGAAGUUAAGAAAGAUCAGAAGUUCAGAGAGUUCCCAUUUCAUGCUCAAAGGAAGUGUGCAUCGCAUAAUUAUUGUGCAGCCGCAAUAGUCAACUACAUGGCCGCACUCGGAAAUGUAUGGUCUGCAGAAGAGCCCUAUGCGGCCGCACCCAGAAAUGUGCAGACCGCAGAACAUGAGAGAUGUGGCCGCAAGAAUUUUGUGGCCGCAGAACCUCCGAAAGGGCAUUUUUGUCCGAAAAAAUCCAUCCUCGUAUAAAUAGAAUAGUUUCACGAAAUUAGGUCAAGUUUUGAAUAUUCAGAGUGUUGUAGCCGUUUCUUCUUGCUUCUUUAGGAAACUUUAGCUUAUUUUGGUGAUUUAACAUUGGAUUUUUAUAUUUUAAUCUUUCAAUAUGAGUUUAAUUAUGUUUUCAUCUUUGUUUUCUUUUAUACUCACUAUGAGUAGCUAGAUUUUUACUUAGGUUGUGACCCAAUCCUAUCACACCUCCUUUUUACCCAAAAGGGGGUAUAAGUGAGUUUUUCCAAUUUAAGUGACAUUUUUCGAAAUGGCAUUUUUUAUUUAUUUUCAAAGUCUCCACUUGGGACAUUUAUGGCGUCCCAAGUCACCGAUUUAUUUUGAAUCCCAAAUCGAGAAAAUUGACUCUUAUAUAUGGUCCACGAAUACAGUAGACCGGGUAAGGAAUUCUGUUAACCCGGGAGAAGGUGUGAGGCACUCCCGAGUUUCGUGGUUUUAGCACGGUCGCUCAACUAUUAUUAAUUGGCUUAAGUAUCUGAUUUACUACAUAUUUAAAACCUAUUGUGCAUGUUUUAACUUUUAAUAGCUUUUAGUAUUUAUGGAGUUAUUUCUGGAACAAAUCACGAUUGUCGUACACUUGUCGUUUUGGUAUACAUCGCGAAUUGCGUCACAUGAAAUGCACCCGCGACUUACAACAUGUUAAUUUUAUUAUUAUUCUGUAACGAUCCGGCCGGUCAUUUUGAGCAUUUGCAUUUUGCUCAUCGGUUCUCGGGCAUGACUAGCCUUGUAUAAUAUAUUAUGACUUAUGUAAAUCAUCGGUUUUGAUUUUUAGGUGGAACAAAACAUAUAUGGAAGAAUGGUUCUCAGCUUAAGGCUUAAAAUUUGAGAGGAUAGACCAAGUCUUUGACUUUUAGUAUUCGAUCUUGGAUUUGAAUUUUUAUGAUUGGAUUAGCUCCGUUGGAUGAUUUCGGACUUAGGAGCGUGUUCAGAACGUAAUUUGGAGGCCCGUGGUAGAUUUAGGCUUGAAUUGGCAAAAUUGGAAUUUUUGCGCUUUCCAGUUGGUAGUGGAAAUCUUGAUAUCGGGGUCAGAAUCGAAUUUCAGAAAUUUGAGUAGGUCUAUAGUGUCAUUUGUGAUGUGUGUGCAAAAUUUCAGGUCAUUUGGAUUUGAAUUGAUAGGUUUCGAUAUCGUUUGGGGAAUUUGAAAGUUCAUAAGUUCUUAAGCUUGAAUCCGAAGUUGAUUUUGUAUUUUUGUGUUGUUUUUAGUGAUUCGAAGGCUCGACUAUGUUUUAAUGAUGUUAUGGGAGGUGUUGGUAUGUUUGGCUUGAGGUCCCGAGGGCCUCGAGUGAGUUUUGAGAGUUCGGGCAUUAUCGGGACUCAGGCAUUGGUUCUGGUUCUUAAAUUUACAGCUAGGGUGGAAGGUUUACCGCUGGGGGUGGUGGUUUUACUUUUGGGGCGGAAAAUGGUCCGCGAUCCGCCAUAAGGGGCCCCUUUCGGAGUUUGUACAUUCCUAGUGAGCGCGGGUACCUAGUGUGAGUGAUAUGUUGUAACUUGAGGGGCUGUUGUUGUUUCAUAUUGAAGCUCGAGGGGCUCUUGUUGAUCCAUGUUUUCUCAAGGGGAGGUUCUUGAUUCAUGUUAUGCCCGAGGGGCUAAUUACGAGUGAUAGUGAGGUAGCCCGAGGGGCUGGUUCUAUUGAUAUUAUGCCCGAAGGGCGGUUCAUGGUACAUGUUUUGUCUGAGAGGCCAUUUAUGUUUUCCUUCAUUUUUACUCACUAUUUUAUCACUCAUUUAAAACUAUUGAAAGUUGUUUUAAAAGGUUUUACCGAAAUUGAGCUUGAUUUACGAAGUAAAUGAUUUUUUUACUAUUUUGGAAAGGUAUUGUAUUUGCUAUAGUGUUAUGACGUGGCUUACGUGUUUUCUUACUGCUCAGCUUUCAUUUACUUUUAUUACUUACUGAGUUGGCAUACUCACAUUACUCGCUGCACCUUGUGUGCAGAUUCAGGUAUUUUUGAACCCGGUAGCGGGUGUUGAUUGCUCAGUGGCAGAGUCAUUGGAGUUAGCAAGGUAGCUGCUGGAUGUUCGCAACCCUGUUUUUCUCCUCUUGUAUCCCUUAGGUUGUUUUUAGUAUAUUUUCAGACCUUAAUAGAUGCUCGUGACCUGUGACACCCCGAUGUCGGGCUUGUGUAUUUAUUACUAUUCAUUUAGACUUACAUUAUGAGAUAUCUGAUUGAUUAAAGGCUUAAAAUGAUUGUUAUUGAUUAAAUGGUUAAUUUGGGAGUUGUGUUGGCUGGCCUAGUUUCACGAUAGGCACCAUCACAACCGAGUAAUUUUUAGGGUCGUGACAAGUUUGUAUCAGAGCCUAGGUUACAUAGGUCUCCUGAGUCAUGAGCAGGUUUAGUAGAGUCUCGCGGAUCGGUAUGAAGACGAUUGUACUUAUCCUCGGGAGGCUGCAGAACCUUUAGGAAAAACUUCACAUUCUUGAAUUCUUAUCGUGCAUCCUUGAUUCAGCUUGAAAUGUAACUCCUUUAAUUCCUUCCACGCCUUCGUAUGCGCGCAUGAACGCUCAGUAUCAGAUGUGCAUCGAUGUCUUGUGAUUCCUUGAUCAUGGGGCGAGAUGUGAUCUCUGUGUGUUGAUAUUGGGCCAGUCUCGAGGACUUGAGACUGGGUUUUACCUGUAGCUUGAGCACUAAGGUGCUGAUUGUGUGAGCACAUGCUUUUUGAAUUUAUGUGUUCGAUAGUGUCCCUAUUAGUGGAAGUGAUGGCUGGAUGACUAUGUGAUGAGUAUGAUGUGACUGUGAGGUGUGUUUAUAUGAUUUGAAUGAGGCGAGAAGGGUCUACUUGGGGGCAUAAAGAACUAUUUGGUGCUUGAUUUCCAUCUUGAUUUGAUGUAUAGCCCCGAGUUAUCGGAGUGUGAAGAAUCAUUUCAUGUUUUCUAGUUGGGGAGUGGAGUAGAUUUCGUGUUACGAUAUGAGUUCAGACUCAAGAAGCUUAAGCGACUGCGUAAUGUUUAUGACGAUGGAAGGGGUAUGAAGAGCUAUUAGUUUGAGGCAAAGCAGGUGGGUUAUCUCCUGUAGAGUGUUCUGAAGUUUGUGUGAUCAUUAUGUUAUUUGUUGGAAGAUCUCUUUUACCAGUGGAAUAGAUGUGUUGCAAUUUGAAUUUGGGUCGCUUAAGAGAGUAGGCUUGACUGUUACGAGGGUGAAUGCGAGAUUUGCAGAAGAUUUGAAGUACUAGAUGGUCUGUGUUGCACGAACUUAUGAAUGAUUGAGUUUAAUAUCACUAUGGUAUUAUGGUAGUAAUAGAGUAUAUGCAUUAUGAGUUAUUGUGUGUUUUAAUCUAUGGCUUUGAGCCAAGUGGGGGGGUCUGCUAUUGAUUAGUUGAUUGCACGAUUUUGUGCUAUGUUAGUUCCAGUUUGAGGCAUACUGGUGAAUCAGUUAUGGCUUACGGAGGUUGAGACCGAGGAUGGCUCAAGUAAAGCAAAUUUUAAUAAAGGUUAUGUUAUGCUUUAUGGGUGUAUGAGAAUCAUGGAAUGACUUGAGUUGUUAUUAGUAAAGGAUGUACGGUGCAUAGAACAGGAAGUUGCUUGGUUGCGUUAAGGAGAGGUUACAUUAUGUGGUGUCAGAGUACUAAUGGAGCAUAGGUUGUUUGGUCUGUUUGAUCGGUCUAAUUGCGGUUUGAGUAGAGUGGGUGACUCUCAAGAAUGGUUCUAAUGGGUUCAAGAUUUUACAUGCAGUAAUUGGAUAUUUUUAGGUUGUAUAUUUGGCUGGAAACCGGGGUCUACAUUGGAGGGUGUCAAGACUUGCAGCAUUUCUAUAUCAAUUCUGGUAUUCUAUGUAUCAGUAUCAGGAAGGUGAAAGUAAUGUCUUUGGAUUCGCAGGAAGUCUCUUCAGGGUAGGUAAUUUGAAUGUGGUGCUUUUGGAAAUGUUUAAGAGAGUAUUCAGUGGCUUAUGAGCCUUAAAUGGUGUUGUUUUAAGUUUGGGUCUCGUGUGGUGAGUCUGGGUUGAGGAAUUGCGGCAUUAUGGCAAGGAGAAGUAUCAAUUUGAAGGUAAUUUAGAAGGAACUUGGAUAAAUAGGACAUUGGUAGUAGGUCGGAUCGGCAUGGUAAGGGUUAUGAUUAGUUCUUUAGGUGCUUAUGAGGUAAUGAGUUUCUACAGGUGUUUCGCGGCAAUGCUGUUAGGAUUUAGUGGCCUGCGUAGCUUGGUUGAGUUAGAAGGAUUCAGUCCUGACGGUUUAGUUUUGUGCAAAUGGAAUUCGGAGAGCUCUUGAUGGUUUCUACCAUGGUGAGAGAUUUAUAUUUGCUACAAGCGUGAGGAGCAUGAUAUGUAUAGCGAUUUUCUUAUAGAAGGGAUCAAUGGAAAGUUCUUAGCUAGUUGGGUACGUAGUUGCUUGUGGCUCGGAAGGGGUUAUGAAGUUCUUAUAUUUAUCAUAGGACGGUUGAAAUUUGCAUGUGUAAGGUCACAGUUCAGUUCUGAAAGGAAGGUUCAUAAAUUCUUAGAUAGCAUGGGCAGUUUCAGAUGAUUAGGCAAAUGAUAUUGCUAAAUGGUGUGGCCUGAUAAGGGCAUACGUUUCAGAAAGGGAAAUGUGAUUGAGUUAAUAAUAUAUCAUUGGUAUCGUGGCUCUCUCUUGGUGGAUCGACUACUGAUAUUCGGGUUUUCUUGGUGGCACAAAAGAAUUUUUGGAGUAUCUCGUGGAAUGAUUAGGUAUUAGAGGUAUGAUAUGUAUUCAGACGACGGAAUUUGGUUUGGAUAUGGCGAUUCGAGUGCUUUAUGGACUUGGAGACCAGGAGUUCUCAUAGACAAGUUAUGUUAUGGUUGUGGGUCACGCGUAUCAGCCUAGUGUGGUGACUAUUGUGGGUUUGGAAACCCGAGUGGAUCCUUUGUUGCUUGGUAUGUUAGAUUUUGGAUGUGAUAUUGGGUAUAGACUGGUUGUCUCGGUAUUAUGUUAUUCUGGGCUGUUGCGCUAGGGCAGCGGCAUUAGCUAUGCCAGGAAUGCCACAGAUUGGGUGGCGAGGUUCGAUGAAUUAUGUUUUCAGUAGGGUGGUUUCAUUUUUGAAGACCCAACAGAUGGCUGGGAAGGGUUGUCUUUCUUAUUUGGCCUUCGUGAGGGAUGUCAGUACAGAGACUCCUACCAUUGAUUCAGUUCCCGUGAUGAGGGAUUUUUCCGGAUGUAUUUCCUAUUGUCGGGCAUGUCGUCGGACAAGGUUGUUGAUUUCGGUAUUGAUUUGGUGUCGGGCACCGUAUUGUAUGGCAUCGGCGGAGUUAAAGGAGUUGAAGGAGCAGCUUCAGGAACUCGUCAAUAAGGGGUUCAUUAGUAGACCAAUAUGGAUGUGUGUUCUACAUCGAGUCGGCUUGGGUGACUUCGAGUUGUAUUGUUGAGGGAUAUGUUGAUUCGAUUGUUAUUGAGCUUGUUAGUGAUUUGGGGAGAUCUAUGAGUUACCUUUCCGUGUUGCGAGGUGUUAGGAUUUGUUGGUUAUAAGCACAUGUGGUGCGGUUUUAUUGAGGUCUCUCAAUGGAAUUUGAGCAGAAAGAGUAUUGGGUAUUGCUCGGCGGAUGGCGUAUCAGUUGUGUCCUUUCGGGUUUGUGUAAUGUUAUGUUAGUUACUUUUCCAUGGUUAUGAUGAUCUGCUUUGGUUCUAGACAUCAAAUUACGCAUGGUUGUCGAUUUCGAGCAUAGUGACUUAAGGUAUCUCAUGUGGAACGGUGUUUGGAUAGGGUCGCACAUUGCAGUGAAGUUAUAUGGAGGUAUGACCCUUCGGGUUAGAUUCGUCUGUUCUAUUUCUACGAUGUGUGACGGGUUCUCAGCAUUAUGUGUGGUGAUACUGGUGAGCUUGUGGUACAGAUCUCUCAUUAGAGUCAUUUUUCAUGGUUUGAGUAUGUUCGGAUCGUUGCUUAUUGGUGUGCGGAUUGUACGAGUUGUGGCUCUAGAUUGUAUAGAUGUGUCAUGUCACCAAAGUAGUUGUGUUGGAUUAGAUGAGAUCGUUGGGAUCUAGAAUGAAUACAAACAUAUUUGGUCUCAGCGUGUUGGAAGGAUAAUAUUGAUGUUCGGCUUAGAUAUUUGCUAUGGUCCUUGCCAAAGGAGAAGUGGCUUCACGGAUUGUUGAUCUGAGGAAUGGUUAUGACUUUCUAUGUGUUUCAUUUAUCAUUGGCAGUAUACGGAAGUGUUGGAAUGAGGCUAUAUUUGAUAAGAGGUUUAUUAUUGAUAUUCUGUUGUUCUGAGCAACUGCUGUGAACAGAAGUUAUCUCUACGAGAGUUAGAGUUAUGUGGUAUAUCAUGUAAUUGCAUCUCAGGUUGUUGGUAUGGCUUGUUACAGCUUGUUCGGGCUUAUUCAAAGUAUAGAUGUGAAAUUAUGAUCUUGUAGAUGAUUUCAGAAGUGGAAAUGUGGUUCUAAGGUUUAUAGGCUAGGUUGGAUUGUGAAAUUUCAGUUGCAUUGUGUUAUCGCACCUAUAUGAGAUAGAGUGACGUGGGAUCACCCCCGGGUAUGUGCAUGGUAAGGUUACACAGCGAUUUGAUGGUUUUCGGAACAACUUUGAACACGUUCGAGGAUGAACGUAUGUUUAAGUGGGGGAGGAUGUAACGACCCAACCAGUCAUUUUGAGCAGUUGCAUUUCGCUCGUCGGUUCUCGGGCAUGACUAGCCUUGUAUGAUGUAUUAUGACUUAUGUAAAUCGUCGGUUUUGAUUUUCAAGUGGAACAGAAAAGAUAUGGAAGAAUGGUUCUCAGCUUAAGGCUUAAAUUUGAUAGGUUUGACCAAGUCUUUCACUUAGAGUACUCAAUCUCGGAUUUGAAUUUUUAUGAUUGGAUUAGCUUCGUUGGGUGAUUUAGGACAUAGGAGCGUGUUCGGAACGUAAUUUGGAGGCACGUGGUAGAUUUAGGCUGAAUUGGCAAAAUUGGAAUUCUGGCGCUUUCCGGUUGGUAGUGGAAAUCUUGAUAUCGGGGUCGGAAUGGAAUUCCGGAAAUUUGACUAGGUCCAUAGUGUCAUUUGUGGCGUGUGAGCAAAAUUUCAGGUCAUUCGGAGUUAAAUUGAUAGGUUUCGGCAUCGUUUAUAAAAUUUGAAAGUUCGUAAGUUCUUAAGCUUGAAUCCGAAGUUGAUUUGGUAUUUUAGUGUUGUUUUGAGUGAUUUGAAGGCUUGACUAAGUUUUAAUGAUGUUAUGGGAGAUGUUGGUAUGUUUGGGUUGAGGUCCCGAGGGCCUCGGGUGUGUUUCGGGUGAGUUUUGAGCGAGUCCGGGCAUUACCGGACUUAGGCAUUGGUUCUGGUGCUUAAAUUUAUAGCGGGGUGGAAGUUUAACUGCUGGGGGUGGUGGUUUUGCCGCUGGGGCGGAAAAUGGUCCGCGGUCCGCGGUGAGGAAGAAUCUGCAGGUUCACUGGUCUAACUUCGGAAGCCUAUAUCUUUUGAUCUACAAGGAAUUUUGAGAUAAUUCAAAAAUAAAAGUUGUAUACCUUCGUGUCUAGUUUUCAGAAAGCUAAAGAUAUCACAAUUUGGACAUCUGUAGAGAAGGUUAUGGCCAAAAUACUAAAGCAUAUUACUGCAAUCAACAUUUUCCGUUGUAGCAGUGGAUUUAACGCGGUCAGCGGUGAUGGACCGCGGUCAGUGGUGGUUUUACCUCGGUCAGCAGUGAUGGGGAUCUGAAAGGUGCACUAUAAAUAUGAGAUUUGGGGUUUUAUUUUAUAUUUUGACCUACAAAGCUCGGGCUUUGGUGAUUUUUCGAGGGAGUUUCAAGAAAACCAUUGAGGUAAGUGAUUCUAACUCAAUUUUUGCUAAAAUACAUUAUUAUAACAUUGGAUUCAUCAUUUGAGUAGAGAUUUGGGAUAUAAAUUUGGGGGAAAUUGUGGAACUUCAUAAAAAGAAUUUUCUGGAUUUGAAAGCCGAUUCGAAUUCGGAAUUGAGUGAAACUAGUAUGGAUAGCCUCGUAAUUGAAUGGGUUGUCGAAUUUUAAAACUUUAGUCGGAUUUCGAGACGUGGGCCUGGGGGCGGGGUUUGAGCAAUUUCGGGAUUCUUGAGUUAAUUUGAUUACUUUUGCCUGGGCUUUGUUCCUUUAGCGUAUAUUGAUGACAAUAUACUGAUUUUUGUUAGAUUUGGAGCAUUUGGAGGCCAAUUCGAGAGGCAAAGGCAUCGCAGGCUAGAGUUUGGACCGGUAUGAGGUAAGUAAUGAUUGUAAAUAUUGUCCUGAGGGUAUGAAACCCUGGAUUUCACAUCGUUAUGCUACUUUGAGGUGACACACACGUUAGAUGAUGAGCGUGGGGUGAUGCACCGUUGGGGAUUGUGACCUUGUCCGUCUUGUAUGACUGUUAAGUCACGCAUUUGAUUAAAACUUGUUCGAUAUCAUUGUGUUUUGGAAAGCAUUAUCAUGUUUUGGGCUGAAUUCCAUAUUUGGGCCUCGUGCCAACUGUUUUGGACCCUUAAGGGAUUUUUACUACUAUUCCUUAUUGUUUUGACUUCAUAUCUAUACUCAGUCAUGUUGUAUUCUAUUGCUUCCAUAGCUCAGCCAUAUUUACUCCGUUUUGAUAUUUUUAAAUAAUAAUUUGGGCUGAGCAUCAUGUUUUACAGUUUCCUGAGUGGCUUGAGAGAUUUCUAACUGAGUGAGGCCGAGGGCCUGUGUUGUGAGGAUAUUAUGGGAUCGGGCUGCGCGCCGCAGUAGUGUGGUACUAAGUUAUGAUUAUGAGGCCGAGGGCCUAAUUUGUUACGCCACGAGGUAUCUUUAUAUAAGGCCAAGAUCCUAUUUGAUUAUGCCACGAGAUGGCUUAUUAUUGUGCUUGGGUCGUAAAGGGCCCCUCUUGGAGUCUGUACACCCCCAGUGAGCGCGGGUACCCGGUAUGAGUGAUAUGUUGUAGCCCGAGGGGUUGUUGUUGUUUCAUAUUGAAGCCCAAGGGACUAUUCUUGAUCCAUGUUUGCCCGAUGAGCAGUUCUUGAUUCAUGUUAUGCCCGAGGGGCUGAUUACGAGUGAUUGUGAGGUAGCCCGAGGGGCUGGUUCUGUUGAUAUUAUGCCCGAGAGGCAUUUCAUGGUACAUGUUUUGUCCGAGAGGAUGUUUAUGUUUUCCAUCAUUUUUACUCACUGUUUUAUCACUCAAUUGAAACUAUUGAAAGUUGUUUUAAAAGGUUUUACCGAAACUGAGCUUGAUUUACGAAGUAAAGGAGUUCUGUACUGUUUUGGAAAGGUAUUGCAUUUGUUGUAGCGUUAUGACGUGGCUUACGUGUUUUCUUACUGCUCAUCUUUCAUUUACUUUAAUUACUUACUGAGUUGGCGUACUCACAUUACUCCAUGCACCUUGUAUGCAGAUUCAAGUAUUUUUGAACCCGAUAGCGGUUGUUGAUUGCUCAGUGGCAGAGUCAUUUGAGUUAGCAAGGUUGCUGCCCGAUGUUCGCAACCCUGUUUUUCUCCUCUUGUAUCCCUUAGGUUGUUUUUAGUAUAUUUUCAGACCUUAGUAGAUACUCGUGACUUGAGACACUCCGAUGUCAGGCUUAUGUAUUUAUUCUACACUAUUCAUUUAGACUUACAUUAUGAGAUAUCUGAUUGAUUAAAGGCUUAAAAAUGAUUGUUAUUGAUUAAAUUGUUAAUUUGGGAGUUGUGUCGGCUGGCCUAGUUUCACGAUAGGCGCCAUCACGACCGGGUCAGUUUUAGGGUCGUGACAUAUUCGAAGUUAUGGUUGGGUCACAUGAAUUGCACACCCGAAUUGGGAGAUUACAUAUCGUGACUAUGCCACGGGAACCGUACCCAUAGUCAUGAUAAUUUAUUAAUCGCGCCUAAAGCAAGCUACGAUGUGCAUAAGUUGAUUUUUUUAUAGUAAAGACUAAAUUUAAUCUGAUUGUUGAUGAUGGCUAUUGAAAUCACACUAGUAAGAUCAUUGCAUGAUCAAUUCAUUGUUUGGAAGAGACAAAGUUAACAAUUGCCUAAGGCUUAACUAGAGUUCGACAUUCACAUUCCAAUUACCGAAUGUGGUUCAAGAUUUGCACCAGAAAAAUUAAGGUAAAAUCUUGAUCACAAUAGCAAUACAGGAUUUCACAUACAAUAACAUCUGUUAUUUUUACAAAGGGGACAAGAAUAGAAAUAUGAAUGCACUUAAACAGAAACAACAAAAGCCAAAGUUGCCAACUUUAACGAAAGACAAAUUGGGAUUGACAUUAGCGCUGAAAUAAUUAAAAAGACAAUGAGUUGUCAUACUGGUAGUAUCCCAAAGACCCAAAUUCACAAUCUUCUGAUCUUAAUAAGCAGACAUGGUUAUUUUCCUUAUAGAUUCUAAUAUUUUACCUCAAAUUUAGCACAUGAAACAAUACCUACUACACAUGAUUUCACUUUCAGAAAAAUGGAAACACACAUCUAUCUCAGAUGUUCAACAAUCAAACCAACUAGUUGCUGUUAGGUAAAUUUCCUUUAUCCUUUUAGAUGUGAACAAAAGGAGGAAAAAUUUAGAGUUAUAUGAAGGUAUUAUUUAAUUUAUUGUAUUGAUAAGGUCCUAUAUCACUUCAAUCAGCUGAACUAAAAUAAAAAUCGACAAAUCCAUACUGUGAACGAACAGAAAACAUCAAAGAACAAUUCCACCAUAUAUACACAAACAAAUUUCAGCAAAUUUAUAGUACAUGAAUGUCCGAAUAACCAUUACAUUUCGAGAUUGAGAUAAAUACCUCUAAACAGCAGUAGAGAUAAACUUGAAUAACCAAAUAAAGUCGAAGGAAAAGCUGGAGCUCAGCGAAAGUAGAAACAGCAAAACACAUCUUCAGCUUCUAAAAUCAAAAUCAAAACUCGAACACCCAAAAUUGGAGAGAUAAAGCAACGAAAAGCAGCAAAGCCUUUGAAACUCCCUGUUCCCCCGAUUUUCUUCUAGUUUUGAAACCUCUUUUAUUAUUUUCAGCUUUCAAAAUCUUUCAAAACUUCCAAUUUCUUUUUGUUUUAUUUGUUUGUUGAUAAAUGCUUUUGUUUGUGUGUGUGUAAUUUUUGUAUAUGCAGGGAAGUGAAAUGGAUGGUUGACUGAGAAGUCGAUGUACUAGGAGCUACGACUGGGGAUUUUUGUUUUUAGGGAGGGGUAGGCCUACACGUCAUUUCUGAUCAGAAAGAGAGAGGGGAAUCCAGGCGCUGGUCCUCUUUUUG
rnacentral:lncRNA from 1 species